UCCGAGUUGACCCCGGCAGUCUCUUACGAGUCCCCACCAUCACGUGCUGGCAACAUAAGACAAGGGUUGCGCUCGUUGCGGGACUUAACCCAACAUCUCACGACACGAGCUGACGACAGCCAUGCACCACCUGUAUACAAGCCACAAGGGAAACCGUAUCUCUACGGCGGUCCUGUAUAUGUCAAACCCAGGUAAGGUUCUUCGCGUUGCAUCGAAUUAAUCCACAUGCUCCGCCGCUUGUGCGGGCCCCCGUCAAUUCCUUUGAGUUUCAACCUUGCGGUCGUACUCCCCAGGCGGGGUACUUCCUGCGUUAGCGCCGGCACCCAGAGGGUCGCUCCCCCAGGCACCUAGUACCCAUCGUUUACGGCGUGGACUAC
rnacentral:misc_RNA from 1 species